UCCUUUUUAAUUUUCUCUCUCUUCCACUCAGCCCUCUAUCCUCGUCCCCCCUCUCUCUCUUCUUUCCUCUAAUAUCUAGCAGAUCCACAGUCAAAGAUCUCAGCUUUAUACAAAAGUAGCCCCGGUUCUCGAACAAAAAGGAAUAAGAAAGCAAAUGGGUGGUGAAGAGAAAGUUUUCACCUUGGCUGAAGUGUUCGAGCACGACAAUCCUAAGGACUAUUGGGUUCUACAGCAUCGAAUGUAUUUGAUAAAGCAGAGGGUAGUGAAGCUUCAUCAAUAGGGGCAACGGCAUCAGCAUCAAAGUAUGAGGACCGGACGAUAAGGAGGACAAGGAUGGUUGUCGGAUUUGUAAGAAUCCAAGAGAUGCAAAGAAUCUUUAUAAUCGAUUGGAUUUGUUAAUUUGGGGAUUUUGCAAGUUUUACUGGAAAAGUUUUGGAUUCAAUUGACUGGUUUCAAAAAUUUUAAAAAUUGAUUAAACAAUAUCUAAUUUUGGAUUUUUGAUGUUCAUUAUUUUCUUGAAGCCACCGAAGAAUCUUUGUUAGUUGUGAA